rnacentral:lncRNA from 1 species
UACAACAUUCUCGGCGUGCCGGUUGCAGCAGGGAUUCUCUACCCUUUGAUCGGCAUACGUCUCCCGCCAUGGCUUGCUAGUGCUUGCAUGGCGGCUUCUUCGGUGAGCGUUGUCUGCUCCUCGCUCUUGCUGCAGUACUAUAACAAGCCUCUGCGUGCUAACGUUACUUGAGACGACUCAUCUUCGGGUUUUGCUCUUGACCAAAGGGAAAUCUCACAUUUUGAUCUGGCACUGUUUUAUGCAUUCCUCAAUAAUAGUUCUGAAAUCUCACAUUUUGAUCUUUGUAUUGGUAAAAGUAGUUCUGAAAAUUGAUGAUAUAGUUUUCUAUUAAUUACCAAUACAUAGGUGCGUUUGGAACGUAGGGAAUAAUUAUUUAUUACUACUCCCUCCUCCUACUCCAUGAAUAGCAUAACUGUUUUUUACACGGACUUUUACAAAAAGUUAUUUAGAGUAUUGAUAAUGCAGAAAAGAUUUUCGUAAAGAAUAUUGUUAAAUAUAUCGUGAGUAAAUAAUGUAAGUUAUAAGGAUAAAUUUAUAAAAAUUAUGUGUAGAUUAGUAUUCAAAGGUAACGUGUACAUAAAUUUGGAGGACAUAUUAAAAAUGAAAGGUAUACAUCAGGGAGAAUACUAAAUUAAUUGUUGAAACAAUAACAAAGUAGUAAAAGUUUAGAUAAUCUAUUGACUAUUGGUGAAGACUCACUACUAGCUCCUUAUCCUUAUCCCUACCUUUUUACUCUCACCACUGCUCAAACCUCUCAAAUAUCUAUAACUUUCGCUAUCUAGCUUAGCAAAUCAGAGUGUUCACCGACAACCAAACCAUCAAAGCUUCGAAUUGUUGCAAUGGCAGAAGCAGUAUUGUCGAUUGCUCUAGAAACCUUGCGUGAUUUGUUGUUGGAAGAGGCAAAGUUUUUGUAUGGCGUGGGCGAUGAAGUGAAGGAGCUCGAGUGGCAGCUCAAAGAGAUGAAGUGUCUCAUCAAAGAUGCCGACAGAAGACGACAUGAAAGCGAAACCAUUUUGAAUUGGAUCUCAGAGAUCAAAGAUCUUGUGUACAGAGCCGAAGCUGCCAUUGAAAGACACACAGCUCAUCAAGUGUGUUCAAGGAGAAGACGAGGGCGAGGACUGAGACAGCUCAUCUGCAGAUAUUCUUGUAGUUUGGAGGAAUACAUGUCGAUCCACCAACUAGGCUCGGAGAUUUCACCAAUCAAAUCCCGUCUUGAAAGGAUAAACAAGGAAAUGUUAAAAAGUGGGAUAAAGAAGGGCAUCAUCAACAAUACAGAUGAAGGGGAAAGCUCCUCCGCCAACAACAGGGCAAGGAUGAGCUUUCCUGAAUUCGUGAUCGGAGACUGUUUUGUGGGGAUGGAGAAUGAGCUGAAGCAGCUUGAUCAUCUCUUAGUGGAAGAGAAAGAUCAUCGAUUAAUUUCAGAGUGGGGAAUGGGGGGAUCAGGCAAGACCACCAUUGCCAAAAAACUCUACAACGACAACAAGACUAGCUUUGAUCUUUCUGCAUGGGUUUGCAUUAGUCAGCAGUGUCAGAGUUUUAAAUCAGUUUUGGGAGGAUGUUCUGAGGCAGCUAGAGCCACAAAUAAGAGAGGACUUUAUUCCAAGUCUGAGCGAGUGGGAGUUGAAGGAGCGACUGUGCAAGAUACAAAGAGAGAAGCGAUGCCUCAUUGUUGUGGACGAUCUUUGGAAAGUUUCUCAUUGGAAUGAGUUGAAGCAUCCCUUCCUUGUCCAUGAUUUGCGGAGCAAAAUCUUGAUCACCACGCGCGAACAGGAAGUUGCAGAGAUUGGGUGCCCUAUAAAACUUGGGCUUCUAAAUAUGGAAGAUGCUUUGGAACUACUCAAGAAGAAAGCAUUUCCCCAUACCAACAUUCCAGGUUACUUCAUAUGUUCUAGUUGAGUUUUGUGCUACUUUACAAAUUAAUCAUAUACCCCAUCUUUUUAAGUGUUGCAUUGCUUCUUCCUCACUCAAGCCAAAUGUUGUGCUGUGGCAGCGUAUAAAUUUAUUGAUUUUCACUGAAUGCAGAGUUUGCAUUGGAAGAAAAUUUUGAGAAAAUAGGGAAAGAAAUGGUGCAGAAAUGUGGGUAUUUGCCGUUGGCAAUUUCUUUACUUGGCGGGGUCUUGAGAAUGAAAAAUUCGAUGAUGGAGUGGGAGUUAGUAAAUGAGGAUAUCAAAGAAAUCAUAUAUAGAGAUGAAAGUGAGAUUGAUGGAGUGCUAAAUUUAAGCUAUGAAAGUCUACCCUAUUAUUUGAAGCCUUGCUUUCUCUAUAUGGGUAUAUUUCAAGAGGACGAAGAUAUAGAUGUUGAGGAUCUAUAUAGGAUGUGGAGAGCACAAGGCAUGAUUUCAUUUGAGAAUAUUCGAGACAAGGACAAAACUUUGAGGGAAAUCGCGGAGCUCUACUUGGGUGAAUUGGCCUCCAGGUCCAUCGUCCAAGUUGACAUUAAUGACUACUAUGGUGUCACACCGGGGGAAAAAUAUUCGAGGUGCAAACUUCACGAUGUAGUAAGAGAACUAUGUUUAAAAUUGGUGAAAAGGGAGGAUUUUUGGUGUGGAGAGUUUGGUGUAUCAAAGUGGGAAACUUAGUACCUUACUACGGCAAGCUUCCUCUCAUAUGAGAAUACGACAUUUGGCUAUCAAUUUCAAAAGUGAAGUCCAAGUGCAACCUGAUGAGCUUACAGUCACUUCUGGAGAAGAUAGUAGCAAACAUUUAAGGUCUCUUCGAAUGGUCAAUUGCAUAUAUCCGAGUGUUGUUGAGUUUCCCCCACAAAGUAUAGUUGAUUUUCAAAAAUUCAAACUACUGAGAGAUCUAGUUAUAGAUGGAUUCAAAUUUGCAGGAAGAAAGUUACCGAGUGGAAUCAGUAAUCUUGUUCACCUAAGACGUUUGUGUUUAGAAAGAUGUGAAUUUGAUAAGCUAACGUCGUCCAUAAGAGACUUGGUAUACAUGGAUACCCUUGAUUUAAAUUUUUCGAGAAAUGUUGAAGUUCCAAAUGUUUUUAAGGAGAUGCUAUGUAUGAAAACACUUGUUUCUUCCCACGUACGAUGAUGAAAAGAUUGGAAGUUAUCGAUUAACAUUGGACGAGGAAGUGGUUGAAUUGGAGACCCUAUGGGGGUUAGAUAGUAGAGUGCAUGAGUUAAAAUGUAUGAACAGAAUGAAGAAUUUGCGAAAAUUUUCAUCAGAAAUACACGACAAUGAAAGCUUGUCAGCCAUGAUAGACGCCAUUGCUACCAUGGACAAGUUAGUAGAUUGUAAAGUUGAAAUCAAAGAGGGUUGCGAGUUAGGAACAAAUGAGGGAGUGUUAAUGUUGAAGAAGGCACUCACAUGUCCCAAUCUUCAUGACUUAAUUGUGGAUUGAAGUUAAGUUAGGGAAGGCCCUGGCAGAGUGCGGCCGUGACUUCAUCAGCUCUAAACUUACAAGUUUGGACCUAUAUGAAUGUGAGAUUGAUGAUGAUCCAAUGGGGAUACUAGGGAAGCUUCCUUGCUUGGUAGAAUUGUGUUUAUGGAGGAAAUCAUUUGUGUGGGAGGAGAUGACGUGUCCAUUAAACAGUUUUCCUCGCCUCAAGAAGCUUAUUCUAUAUCAAUUACCAAAGUUGAGGGAGUGGAGAGUGAAGGCAGGAGCCAUGCCCCUUCUCUCUAAAAUAGUGAUUUGGGAUUGUGCUAGUCUGAAGAUGCUUCCAGAUGGAUUGAGCGGCAUUUCUACUCUUCGGGAACUGUAUAUCUAUAAAAUGCCAGAAUUGGGGAAGAGGGCAUCGGCAUCGGGAGAGGAUUUCCACAAAGUCACCCAUGUCCCUUCAAUUAUCAUCCAUGACUAUAACUAGCUAGUUUAGUCUCCUAUAAAGAGAACACUUUUGUAUAAUUGUUGAUUAUAGGUUGAUCACUGGUUCUGUGGAGAAUAACUGAUUAUCACUACCACUUUUGAUGCUCAAACAAAACAUUUUACCUUAUGUUUUUCGGUCAUGAGGUUUGAAGUUCAACUCAUUGUAAGGGUGUAUCACAUUUUUUUAUAUAUAUAUAGUUUUUUUGUUAAUUUUUUCCCCCUUCGAGAUGCAGUCUUGUUGUUGCAAUUCUCAAGUGUUCCUCUUUCCACUCUUCGCACUCUUUGUUAAAUUAAUUACUUGGAUUGUAUUAUCCAAGUAAUUCAAUUGUGUUUGUUAAUAUGAUAUUCUAUAUUCGAAGUGCUAUUCUGUUUGAAUUGAAUUGAUGGUUUGUAAUGACAAAUGUACAACUCAAUAUGUUAAUUUUGAGCUCAAAUUUAGUUAUAUUCUUAGCUAACCAAGUUAAAGUUAGGCUCGCUAACAAACCAAGCUCAAGCUUCGUUACAAAUGUCAAGUGGGCUUUGUUGUGAUCAAAAGUUAAACGAGUCGAACUCAAACCUGACCCAACCUGAUUUAUUUACAUUCAUAAUUUCUUCAAGAACGACGAUGAUUGUCUCGUCUUCACCUACGAGUGCCCUAUUAUGUACACCGCACCAGAACAGAUUUGACACAGAAAAAAAAACAAGAAAAUUUUGUAUAUAAUAAUAUUCAUUAAGCAAUCUAGACCGCAAGACAAAUUAAUCGAAUACAAAAUAAGGUUCAAUUAAAAACUUAAGCUAAAAUUGAGGUAGGGCCAGACUACUUAUCAGCCCAAUUGCAAUGCAAGGGUGAGUCUAACCCAAUUUCUUUCUUCUCUUUCUUUCGGUAAAAUCCUCAAAACCUUUUCGGCCCACUCUGAAAUAAAUGGGCCCAUAUCAUAAUUAACAGAUCUAAAACAACAUAAAAUUCAGCCCACAAAUUCUCAGGCCCAACAAAACUUCAAUUUCAUAUUAUGAUGGUUAAUUCAACACCUAUUUUAAACUGUCUUAACAGAAAAGGAUGUAUUCAUAUCAUAGACCUGGAUUAUCUGUAUUAAUAACAUUAAUGAACUCUUAUUGGCUUAAAGCGCCUUGAUUACUCACAACCUUUCAUUAUGCCAGCUAAUGAUGAAUCACCUUAUCAUUUUUAAAACCAUAUUAUUCAGUUUUCGUCGUUGAGAAAUGGUCUGAAGAGUUGGUUCCCUGACAUCAGAUAAGUAUUUUAAAUGCAUAUUCCCUUUGAAUAAGUGGAAUAAUGAGGGAGAAUUAUUGAAUGAAGAAGAAGACAAUUGAUUCAACACAAAACAAGUGGAAUUGAUAAAGAUAAUGUGCUUUCUCAGAAAGCUAAACUACUUUCAAGCUUUUCUCACGAACAAAAGUCAAACCUCUCCCUCUUUUCUCAGAUCCUAAUUUGUCUGUAAUCCAAAUUCUUCGCAAUCUCGAUUGAAGAAUUUGUAUUCACGACAACAAGCUCUUUAUCCUUAUUCCUCUCUAUAUACUCCCACCGGUAGUAAAUAAAUUUGACCAAAGAAAUUUGAGUUUGGAAUUCCUCCGAUGGCAGAAGCAGCAGUGUCCAGUGCGCUACAAACCUUGGGCGUUUAUUUGUUGGAAGAAGCAAGGCUUUUAUAUGGUGUGAAAAACAAAGUGAGGGAGCUCGAGACGCAGCUCAAAGAGAUGAAGUGUUUCCUCGCAGAUGCUGACAAAAGGCGACAUGAAAGCAAUACCAUUUUCAAUUGGAUCUUGGAGAUCAAAGAUCUUGCGUACAGAGCGGAAGAUGCCAUUGAAAGACAUGAAGCUUAUCAAGUCAUGUCUUCAGGAGAAAGACGAGGCCUCAUACUGCAGCUCCUCUGCAACUGUAUCAGUGUUUUGCAAGAAUGGUACUCGAUCCACCUAUUAGGCUCGGAGAUUUCAAUAAUCAAAUCUCGUAUUGAAAGGAUAAACAAGGAAAUGGUAGACAGUGGCAUAAAGAAGAGCAUCAUCAACAAUACAGGUGGAGGGGAAAGCUCGUCCGCCAACAACAGGGCAAGGAUGACCUUCCCCGAAUUCGAGGUCGGAGACUGUUUUGUGGGGAUGGAGGAUGAGCUGCAGCAGCUUGGUAAUCUCCUAAGGCAAGACAACAAGGAGCGAGUUAUUUCAGUGUGGGGAAUGGGGGGUUUAGGCAAGACCACCAUUGCGAGAAAGCUCUACAACGAGACCAAGAUCAGCUUUGAUCGUUCCGCAUGGGUUUGCAUCUCUCAGCAAUGUCAGUUUCAAUCAGUUUGGGAGGAUGUUCUCAAGCAGCUGGAGGUUCAAAACAGGAACGAUGAUCCACAAAUAAGGGAGGACGUUGUUACAAGGCUGAGCAAGUCAGAGUUGAACGAGCGACUAUGCAAGAUACAAAGAGAAAAGCGAUGCCUUAUUGUUUUGGACGAUCUAUGGGAAACUUCUCAUUGGAAUGAGUUGAAGCAUCCAUUCAUUGUCGAUGAUUUGAAGAGCAAAAUCUUGGUUACCACACGGCAACAAGAGGUUGCAGAGAAGGGAUUCGCAGUAGAACUUCGGUGUCUAAACAUGGAACAUGCUUGGGAACUACUCAAGAGGAAAGCAUUUCCCCAAACAUACAUUCCAGGUCACUUCAUAUAUUCUAAUUGACUAUUGUAAAUUGAUUAUAUAUAAUAUUUUUAGUUAUUUCAUCCUCGCUUCCUCACUCAUGCCAAAUGAGGUGGGAUGAAGUGCCUACGCUACUAAAAAAAUGCUUAUAGAGGACUCUCAUCUAUGCACGUUUAGAAUUAAGUGUCAUAAAGUGAGGUGUCAUCUAUACCUCUAGACGCGAUGACGCUCAAUGACGUUAUGUAUGCGCUCAUACAUGACGGCUUAUAGAGUAUACAUGAUACUUAUGAAGCAUCAUGUUUGAGACUAUAUAUGACAAUUCUGAAGUGUCAUAUAUAGGAUAAAACAUGUCAAUUGUCAUGAUACAUUGAUGACGUUUUUUAACUGUCACCUAUAACAACUACAUAUGACGCAAUCUAAAUGUCAUAUAUCGAUAAANAAAAAAGUCAUAUAUAUGAAAAAGUGUCAUAUUUAUUUACAAGAUGACAUUAUCUAUAAUAUACUAGAUGACGAUUAUUAGUAAUUGUCAUCUAUUUAUGUUAGGCAUCGUGUUUGAUGUUUUAGAUGAUAGGUUUUAACCGUCAUCUAUUUUUAUUUUUUUUUGAAAUGUUAAAAUAUCAAAUUAAAAAAAGCAAAAAUAAAUUUAAAGAAAAACCUAAAACAAAUUUUAAGAAAACACUACUAUACAUGACGCAUUGUAUAAAGUGUCAUGUAUAUUAAUUUAAAACAUGCAAAUAUAUGACACACUUAUGAAAAUUUCAUGUAUAUUAUAAAUACAUGAUACUUCUUGUAGAAACGUGAUAUAUUUCAAUCUUGACACUUCAUACAUGAUACUCUUUUUUCAAAAUGUUAUGCAAGUAAAAAAAGGUGCUUAUAGAUGAUUGCUUUUUAGAAAAACGUGCUAUUUAUGUGAAUUUUUCUGCUAAAUUAAAAUUGUUUGAUGUGGAAGUGUAUAAAAAUUAAUCAUUUUCACUAUUUCGAUCGAAUGCAGAUCAGUUUGCAUUGGAAGAAAAUUUUGAGAAAAUUGGGAAAGAAAUGGUGCGGAAAUGUGGGUAUUUGCCGUUGGCAAUUUCUUUGCUCGGUGGGAUCUUGAGAAUGAAAAAUUCAAUGAUGGAGUAGAAAUGAGUAAAAAAAAUAUAAAGAGACAUAAAAGGAGAUUGAUGGAGUGCUAAAUUUAAGCUAUGAAAGUCUACCCUAUUAUUUGAAGCCAUGCUUUCUCUAUAUGGGUUUAUUUCAAGAGGACGAAAUCAUACAUCCUAAGCAACUAUAUAGGAUGUGGAUAGCACAAGGCAUGAUUUCAUAUGAGAAUAUCCAAGACAAGGACAAAACUUUAAUGGACACCGCCGAGCUCUACUUGGGUGAGUUGGCCUCCAGGUCCAUCGUCCAAGUUUAUAUUGACAAUGGUAUAUAUCAAGAAAAUAUACAACAUGCGGACUUCAUGAUGUAGUAAGAGAACUAUGUUUGAAAUUGGGGAAAAGGGAAGAUUUUGGUGUGCAGAGUUUGGAGCAUCAAACUGGGAAACUUAGUACCUUACUACGGCAAGCUUCCUCCCAUAUGAAAAUACGACAUUUGGCUAUCCAUUUCAAAAGUGACGUCAAACUGGAACUUGACGAGCUUGGAGAAGAUAGUUGCAAACAUUUAAGGUCUCUUCAAAUGUUCAGUCAAAGAAAUGUUGUUGAGAUUCUCCAACAAAGUAUCGUUGAUUUUCAGAAAUUCAAAUUGCUGAGAGAUCUAGGUAUGUAUGGAUUCAAAUUUGCAGGAAGAAAGUUACCGAAAGGAAUCACUAAUCUUGUUCACCUUAGACGUUUGCGUUUACGAUUUUGUGAAUUUGAUAAGCUACCGUCGUCUAUAGGGAAUUUGAUAUACAUGGAUACCCUUGAUUUAAAUUAUUCGAGGAAUGUUGAAGUUCCAAGUGUUUUUAAGGAGAUGCUACGUUUAAAGCACAUGUUUCUUCCUGAGUAUGAUGGGGAAAGUAUUGGAAGUUAUCGAUUAAUAUUGGAUGAGGGGGUAGAUGAGUUGGAGAGUCUAGUGGCGUUGGAUAGUAGAGUGCAUGAAUUAAAAUGUAUGGGCAAAAUGAAGAAUCUCCGACGUUUUGAAAUAUUCAUACACGACAAUGAAAGCUUGUCAGCCGUGAUAGACGCCAUUGCUACCAUGGACAAGUUAGUAGAUUGUAAAGUUGAAAUCAAAGAGGGUUGCGAGUUAGGAACAAAUGAGGGAGUGUUGAACAAGAUAUUCACAUGUCCCAAUCUUCAUUCCUUGUGGAUUGAAGUUAAGUUAGGGAAGGCGCUGGCAGAGUGCGGGAGUGACUUCAUCAGUUCAAAACUUAUAACUUUGUUCCUGUCAGAAUGUGAGAUUGAGGAUGAUCCAAUGGGGAUACUGGGGAAGCUUCCUUGCUUGACAAAUUUGUAUUUAUGGACGAAAUCAUUUGUGGGGGAGGAGAUGACGUGUCCAUCAAACAGUUUUCCUCGCCUCAAGGAGUAGGGCUGGGAAUCGGGUCGGGUUCGGGUACCCUACCCGAAAAAAUCGGGUACCCGAACCCGAAAAUUGACCAAAACCCACACCCGAUCCCGAACCCGAUUUUGAAAUCGGGUACCCUAAUACCCGAGUCGGGUAUCCGAUUCGGGUAUUCGGGUACCCGAAAUACCCGAUAGUUUUUAGAAAAGCAGCAGCAAAUUCAGUCGAAAAGCUGACCAAAUUCGAUAACCAAAUUCAUACACCAAAUCAGACCAAAUUCAUACACCAAAUCAGACAUUCCAUCACAAUAAACUAGAAUACAGAAAUGAGAAAACCAAAUUCACAGUUCGAAGUUGAGGGCGGUGGCUGCCGAGGCCCCUGCUGUCCACGGCGGCGGCGACUCCGGGCGAGGCGGUUGCUGGCAGUCGACGGCGACUUCAGGACCACCAGCAGCUCCGAGCGGCGGCGUUGCUUCAGCGGUGGCGACGUCGGCCGAAUUUGAGAAAAACAGCGGCAGCAGCGUCGUGAGUGUGUGCGUUUCAGUGAAGGAGAGAGAGAGAUGUCGUGUGAACGACAGAACGAGAACAGAGAGAGGGAGACGGCCGAAGGGAUGAAUUGGGAGGGAUGGGAAGGCCGAAUUGGGAGGGAUUCAAGGGAAUUGGGGAAUCGGGAAUUGGGAAGUGGGAGGGAUGGGGAAUUGGAAUUGGGAAUUGGGGAAUUGGAAGUGGGCCGAAUUGGCCUAUUGGAUUACAGCUGUGAUAUAUUAAGUUAAUUAAUUCGGGUAUUCGGGUAUACCCGAUACCCGAUCGGGUAUACCCGAUACCCGAUUUUUAGACCACCCUAAUACCCGAACCCGACCCGAUACCCUAAUUUUUCGGGUAUCGGAUACCCUAUACCCGAUUUUUUCGGGUCGGGUAGUCGGGUACCCGAUACCCGAUACCCUAUCUUCCCACCCCUAUCAAGGAGCUUGAGCUAUAUCAAUUACCAAAGUUGAGGGAGUGGAGAGUGGAGGCAGGAGCCAUGCCCCUUCUCUCUCUAUGGUCGAUCCACGAUUGUUCUAGUCUGGAGAUGAUUCCAGAUGGAUUAAAUACCAUUUCUACCCUUCAGGUACUGAGAAUUAUUAAAAUGCCGGUAUUGGGGGAGAGGGUAUCGCGAUCGGGAGAGGAUUUCCACAAAGUCAGACAUAUCCCUAAAAUUAACAUCAGUAACUAGUCUCCUCCCAGGUAAGGAAUCUCAUUUAUCCCAUUUUUUAAUGUUAGUUGUAAUAUAUACUUUCACCAUAUUUAACGCUUGUAAUUACCAAACUGGCAGAAAACAUUAGUUCCAACUGGGGUUUUCAAUAAAUUACAAUUGCUUGGAUAGCAGACCACAUAACUUCAUCUGCCCACUAAAAGUAUGUGUGUUUGUUAUUCUUAUUUUUUAUUUCUUUACGUUCAAGGGUGAAUGAAUCGGCGAACGAAGACGAUGUCGAGAAUCCGGCUCAACUACAUGUGGGCGCUGGGGUACAACAUUCUUGGUGUGCCGGUUGCAGCAGGGAUUCUCUACCCUUUGAUCCGCAUACGUCUCCCGCCAUGGCUUGCUAGUUCUUGCAUGGCGGCUUCGGUGAGCGUUGUCCGUUCCUCGCUCUUGCUGCAGUACUAUAACAAGCCUCUGCGUGCUAACGUUGCUUGAGACGAUUUAUCUUCGAGAUGGCCUAAUGGUAGAAUGGCCGAACCCCACGACUAGCCGGUCGCGGGGUUCGAUCUUGAUCGAGAGAAUCUCACAUAUUGAUCUGUUUUUUUGCAUUCCUCAAUAAUAGUUGUGAAAUCUCACAUUUUGAUCUGUUUGAUUUAUUGGUAAAUGUAGAUCUGAAAUUGAUGGAGAUAUAGUCGUUGUGUGAUGAUUAGCAUUUUCUUAUGAUUAUGAUAUGAAUUGUGAACAUGAGACAACAUGUUUGGUAUACACGAAGUCGUUGUUUAUACGUUAGUAAUGGCACUUGGUAUCCUUUACUUCAACUUUGAUGUCUCAUUUUGUGU